UUCAGACUCUGAAGAAGUGAGGACCUUAAAAUGAAGCUAGGCAUAGAACAAGUUUUAACCAUCAAUAAUAUGUAUCUUCACAACACUCCAAAAAGUUUGCUAAGGUACUUCUCUGUAAAAUAACAAUAAAGUGAGGCGCAGAAUAAAUUUGUAUUCGAUUUAUAUUUGGAAACUCACUCAACCAAAAACGGAUUAAGUGGAGAUGGCAAAAAAAAAAAAAGUGGAAAAAAUCGCCAGCAAAGAGGCGCAAAAACUUGACCAGGCCAACGAUGGAUGGUGGCGAAUUAUUAUGCAGCAGCAAUUACUCGCCAAUUGUCGUCGCAAUGAGAUAGUAUAGAGAAUGGGAACAGCAGAGGAAAAAGCUGUUCAAAAAGGCGAUAAUCCGGUCGUCGGGAACGAUGGACGUCCUCCACGUCCAAUGAUCGCAAUGAUCAAACGCCUCUGGAACUGGGAUGCUGGAUGCUAGAUGUUGGAUGUUGGCCAGCUCAACGGUUUUGGCCCGGCCAGCAGCUACUAUGACCAAAUGCAGAGGAUCAGCAGUCGUCAGUCGUCAGUCGCCCCCUGUGAUUAUUUUUAUUAUAAUUGCGCGUUUAUUGGCGUGAGGCUAUGUGUUGCCACUCGAAUCCGUGGGGACACCACACAAUCGUACCGCCUCGACUUGGUACACAAACGGCAAACGGCAAAUCGGCUUUGAUUUGUGUGGCAAACUUGGCGCUUGUUAUACAGCAUUUUUGCGUCUCUUAAAUGCUGCAUUUUCCCCUGCAUUUCUUGCUCUUUAGUUUAAACGACCUAUAUGACUAUCGGUUUGUUAAGAAGUCUAUACAAAUAAUAUUGUGUUAGAUUAUAAAAUCUUGGAAACUUUCCUAAGGGUUUUUAAGCUGAAAAUGUUUUAACAAACCUUUCUGCUGAAUAUUUGCAAAGUAAAUGCUUUCUUAUCUUUAGAUUUUAUUUAAUUUAAAAACGUAAAAAUAAUUUCAAAAAUUUAAAUGUCAAUUUUGUUACAAAGAGCCUUGUGUAUUAAUCAAAAUUUUGUGUUUUCCUGGUUUACACAUCAAAGUUAAUAGUGCUUAAGAAUGCUCGUACCAAUUAAAAGAGGUUUACAAAAUCAAACACAAGAACCCAAAUUAAAUUACAAUUCCUAUGUUGUCCAUAUCAGAUUCUUUAUAUUGUAAUGCCUAAUGGCUUAUUUCCCACUUCUCAUAUCUAUAAUCUCGAUGGGAGCCUCACCUUCAUUACCUCAUCAAUUUUUUCAAGCAAAUGCAAUUCAAUUAGGAAGUGCAUUUAUAAUAACCCAAGUCGAACUGUAAACUUUAAUUUACCAACUUUUAAAGUAGAUUUCAAAUCAGGCAAUUGCCGUUGGCGCCAACAGUUGCAACAAAGCCGUUAAACUGUUGGAAAUCAUCCUGAAAUAAUUAACUAUUGAGCUGAAACGCAAUUGAAAACACAAAAAGUGUUUUACAGAUGGAAAUCUCGAGCAAUUUUCAGACCCAGUCUAUCAUUUAAUAGAAAAAACCACUUGUAAUGCUUGAAUUUAUUUUCACAGUUCAGGGAGGCGUGUUUUGAGGGUGGGGCUAUGCUAAGUAAACGGUGAUUAGAUAAACUUGCAUUAACAUUCAAGCAAAUUAUAUAUACUAUUCUUAGUAAACAUUUCAAAAAAAUAAUACUAAGCCGUGCUUAAAAUUGUUGUUUGCGUUUGUUGCACUUAUUUACAGCACUCCAUAAGUUUACAUUUUAAAACGCCCAAUAUGUUUAUAAUUUUAUAAAUUCAUUUAUUUAUGCACCAUAAACUUUUAUACGUCUGCACUAAAAGCAAAUAUAAUAUUAAGGCCAGACAUAUGUGCCCUAAGGUGCGAUUUGCUUAAAAACAAUUAAGCCGCAGAAGAAGCGCUAAUAAAAAAUUAAAAUAAUCAAGGGAACAGCACGCCAAUGGCUCAUUUGUAAUGCUCCAGAAGAAUUCCGCGUGUCAGCGGAGAGCUGAAGUGGAUAUAUAGUAUAGUGGAUAUAUAAUUACAUCGCCUUUUGUUGUCUGCACUUUGCGUUUUGCGUUUGCUGCUGCUGCGGGUGUUGUAACGCGACAAUUAAAGUUAUAAAACUUUCUGUUUCUUGGCCGGCCUUAGCAUAAUCGCACAAUUUGUCAACGAGUCUGUCUGCAACCGACCCCUUUCAUAUCACAUUUAAUUGUUUUUCCCUGAUUGUUUCGCGCUUGCCUGUUUUUUAAUAUAAAUGCAAAGUUUUGGGGUUAACCACUGCGCUUUAAAUGCGUUAAAGAGAAAAAUGUGGUUGGCAUGGCGUGCUACAAGUGCGAAGUGAAAAAUUGGCUUCCUGUUCUACACUAGGAAAAAAUUCUUCUUACUGAUACAAGUGUUUAGGAGAGUAGCCUGGAUCACAUUAUAAUGUUUAGUAGCUAAGCGUACCGAGUGGCCUAAGUACCUGACUCCAUUUAAAAUCGAAUUACAUUGUCACGCUAUUCAUUCACUUAUUCAAGUAAAAACUUUGGGUCUAUUAACAUAUUAACUUAAGAUACUAAUAGAUCAGAUAAAAAUAUAAAAGGAUGAAGAAAAUAUAUAAUAUGAUGCCGAAUGAAUACACUAUACUAGAAAAUUACAAUUCUUCGAUUUUUUUCGCACUUAAACAGUAGCAUUUCUGUUUUAUUUAUUAUAAGGGCUGGUCGUUAUCAAAACCGCAAAAUCGCCAUUAUCUUUGGCAUAACAAUCAUUUGGAAUACUUUAUGCCGCUGUUUUACCAAUUAUAAUCAGAUUAAACAAGACAAACGCAUUUGGCGAACAGCGCAAAAUGAGGGAAUGCCAUAAAGCAGCCAAAUUAUUGCAAAUAAAUAUGGAUGUAAAAUCGCAGAAUGAGGCGGCUAACAAUUUGAUUUGCUGCUACAUUCUAUCACAUGAAAUCGAGCAGUUUAUGCUGAACAAAACUAACCAUCGGGAUUAGACCAUAAAGCAUGCUAGAGUGCUCGUGCUCGGCGGUGUAUCUUCCAGAUAUCUAGAUACGUACUCGCAUCUAGACUGUGCGUGUCAGCGAGUGUGUAGUGUGUAGUGUGUCUUUCUCGGAGUCAUAUACGAAUACGAAUACGAAGUAUAAGUAUUCGUAUUCGCAUUUGGAUUGGGAUGCUUCAUGGUGCACUGGGCCUGGCCUGGACCAUCAAACCAGAACGGCCGCCUAGGAAGAAUUCUGCCAUAAAUCAUGGUCAUAAAACUUAGCUGUAAUCUGCGCGGAGAGUAGAAACACUGUUCUGUUCCUCGAGGUUUAUAUUAUUUUUUCUUUUUGCGGAAGCAUUGCGGACUUUCAACUGAGCAUAACUUUGAUUGAUAAUGAUGUGUCAAUAAUAUGUGUUUGCAAUUUUAUGCUGACUGAGUAAUGUGAAUGUAACAUUGUGAUGAAAUGCCUCGGCUGGAGUAACAUUUAAAUGCUAAUUUAAACAUCGACUUAAGUUCCAGGAACCAAUCCAACCAUGAUGGGAGACCAUCAGCCGAAGGAUUUUGUAAUGACGGUAUAUUAUCGUAUUGUAAUAGAAGCUUAUUAGGCAAGAAUUUCAUGAUUAGAGGAAUUAGGAUUUUUCACAUUUUGUUACAUUUUAAGGUAGUUUAUGCGGAAAUUUAGCGCUGCGUAAAGGCCAACUUGAAAAAGUUAAAGCGGGAGGGAUUAGAUUUUUAUAGAAAUAUGAAACAAUUUAUGAACUAAAAAAUAAAUAAUAACUAAUAACUAUUUAGGUAUUAAUAUAAGAUUAAGUUAAGAUAUUAGAAUAAAAUAUUAUAAUUUUGUUUUUAAGUUUAAAAUUUUAUUGCUUAAUUUAAAUUACAUUUUUUUGUCAGAAAAGUAAAUAAAAUAAGUUGAAGGGAAAAUUAAAAAAAAUUCAUAAACAGAGUAGAAUAUCUAGUCUACAAUAAAUCAUAUUGUUGAACAUAAAAA